rnacentral:rRNA from 1 species
GAUGAACGCUGGCGGUAUGCUUAACACAUGCAAGUCGAACGGACUCUUCGGAGUUAGUGGCGGACGGGUGAGUAACGCGUGAGAAUCUGGCUUUGGGUUCGGGACAACCACUGGAAACGGUGGCUAAUACCGGAUGUGCCGAGAGGUAAAAGAGAAAUUGCCUGAAGAUGAGCUCGCGUCUGAUUAGCUAGUUGGUGAGGUAAAGGCUCACCAAGGCAGCGAUCAGUAGCUGGUCUGAGAGGAUGACCAGCCACACUGGGACUGAGACACGGCCCAGACCCCUACGGGAGGCAGCAGUGGGGAAUUUUCCGCAAUGGGCGAAAGCCUGACGGAGCAAUACCGCGUGAGGGAAGAAGGCUCUUGGGUUGUAAACCUCUUUUCUUAGGGAAGAACAAAAUGACGGUACCUAGGGAAUCAGCAUCGGCUAACUCCGUG